rnacentral:rRNA from 1 species
AUUGAACGCUGGCGGCAUGCUUUACACAUGCAAGUCGAACGGCAGCGCGGGCUUCGGCCUGGCGGCGAGUGGCGAACGGGUGAGUAAUGCUUCGGAACGUGCCCAGUAGUGGGGGAUAGCCCGGCGAAAGCCGGAUUAAUACCGCAUACGACCUGAGGGUGAAAGCGGGGGACCGAAAGGCCUCGCGCUAUUGGAGCGGCCGAUGUCGGAUUAGCUAGUUGGUGGGGUAAAGGCUUACCAAGGCGACGAUCCGUAGCUGGUCUGAGAGGACGACCAGCCACACUGGGACUGAGACACGGCCCAGACUCCUACGGGAGGCAGCAGUGGGGAAUUUUGGACAAUGGGGGCAACCCUGAUCCAGCCAUGCCGCGUGCGGGAAGAAGGCCUUCGGGUUGUAAACCGCUUUUGUUCGGGAAGAAAUCCUCUGGGCUAAUACCCCGGGGGGAUGACGGUACCGGAAGAAUAAGCACCGGCUAACUACGUG